rnacentral:rRNA from 1 species
CCUACGGGAGGCAGCAGUGAGGAAUAUUGUUCAAUUUUAUAUAUCCUUACCCCGCCCCUCCUCUUUAGUGAAGACGGCCCUAUGGGUUGUAAACCUCUUUUGUCGGAGAACAAAACCCGGGACGUGUCCCGGACUGCGUGUAUCCGAAGAAAAAGCAUCGGCUAACUCCGUGCCAGCAGCCGCGGUAAUACGGAGGAUGCGAGCGUUAUCCGGAUUUAUUGGGUUUAAAGGGUGCGUAGGCGGUCCGUUAAGUCAGCGGUAAAAUUGCGGGGCUCAACCCCGUCGAGCCGUUGAAACUGGCAGACUUGAGUUGGCGAGAAGUACGCGGAAUGCGCGGUGUAGCGGUGAAAUGCAUAGAUAUCGCGCAGAACUCCGAUUGCGAAGGCAGCGUACCGGCGCCAGACUGACGCUGAGGCACGAAAGCGUGGGGAUCGAACAGGAUUAGAUACCCUGGUAGUC